GACAGAGGCCUCAAGCGUUAGGCGGAAUCACUGGGCUUAAAGCGUGUGUAGGCGGAUCGUUAAGUGUCUUGUGAAAUCCCACGGCUCACCCGUGGAACUGCUGGGCAUACUGGCGAUCUUGAGCCACUUAGGGGCUACCGGAACAAAUGGUGGAGCGGUGAAAUGCGUAGAUAUUGGGAGGAACACCAGUGGCGAAGGCGGCUCACUGGACCGGUACUGACGCUGAGGCGCGAAAGCGUGGGGAGCAAACGGG
rnacentral:rRNA from 1 species